CAGUGAUUGGUGCGUUAGUGCCACCUGCCGCUCCGCUCGUGGAUGCAGGCUCUGUGCUUCUCACAUGUUUUCUGGUGGCUCAUUUUGGGGUUGCCCCGAGCUUCCCAGAAGUUGACAUUAUAUAACUGAAAAAAGUUAUAUAACGUUACAUUUUAUAGCCCCCUGUAGGGAAAUGUGUCCACUGCAUUUGACUCAUCCUGCUGGGGCAACCUGUCAGGAGCAGUAGGACCCAUCUCCAGAUCUUGAGCUACUCUUGGUCAGGACUACCUUAGCUUUAGGAUUUGAUCUGUUGUUCAUGUUUUGGGUUGAUGGGGGAAACCGGAGUGCCUGGAGGAAACCCAUCCAGACACGGAGAGAACAUGCAAACUCCACAAACCCAGGCAACCCAGGAGUUGAAUCUGGAACCUGUGACAGUCUAUGUAACUUUAACUGGACUUGUUUACCUGGGAAGUGUUCAGAAAAGCUGAAGAAAAGUGACCACACAGCAGAAAUGAGGGUUAUCUUAUCUGUUUUUGAGGCCAAGGUCCAACGUUGUCUACAGAAGGGACCGGCGUGCUCACAUUCUAGGCUUUUGAGGAAGGGGCUCUGGAGCCAUCACUGCUGCACCAACUAUAGACUGCAGCUCAAACUAACUCCAACUGUACAUCUCAUCACAGAGUGCAAUGUUUAAGUGCAUUUGACAAGCUUUCAUGCUUUUUCUAAUUAUGAAUUGGUUUGGUUUCUUUACAAUAGUUUUACACCAGUCAAGUGGCAGUUUGUGAAAAAGUUUUAGAAAAAAGUUACAAAAGCUACAAAAGUACAGGAAGUAGUACUGAGUUCAAAAGCAAAAUCCCUCAGAAAACUCCAUCCAACAUACGGACACAGUCUACUCACAAGGAAGGUAUUUUUCUGACAGUUCAGACAAAAUAGAGGUGUUUUCAUUAACACUUAACUACUGUACAUUUUGAGUUUUGACCCUUGUUUACAUUACGAUUGGUAACUGCUACAAUGGAAUUACCUCUAACUCUUAUUUACUGCCUGAGUGUCCCACUCAAAGCCAUUUAUAAACUACAACAAAAUGAAAAACAAAAAGUAAUGGACUUUUAGUAAAAUCUUAAAUAUAGCGAUGUUAUAGUUUUAGUAAAAUGAGUAUCUGUUACAGUGGCUUUAUUCACCCCCCUGGAACUUUUUCACAUAUUGUCAAGUCACAACCACAGAUAAAAAUAAAUUUUCUUAGCAUUUUAUGUGAAUGACCAACACAAAAUGGCACACAAGUGUGAAGUGGAAGGAAAUAUUUUACCAGAUUUCCAUUUUUUUUUAAAUAAAAAAACUUAAAGUGCAGCAUGCAAAAGUAUUCAGCCCCCUUUUUCUUGAAUGUAACCAAUUGCUUUUAGAAGUUGCCUGAUGAUUUUGGAAAGAUUGAAUGUUGACCUAAUGACUAAAAAGAGUCCACCUGUGUAUAAUCUUGUCUCAGUAUAAAUGCAGCUGUGCAGUGAAGGCCACAGGAGUUUAUUAAGAGAGUGUUGGGGAGCAAACCACAAAAUAAAGUCAAAUGAGCAAACCGAACAGGUCAGAGAAAAAGUUGUGGUUAAGUUUAAAGCGGAGCUUGGAUCUGAAAAGAUUUCCCAAUCGUUGAACAUCUCAAGGAGCACUGUUCAAUCCAUCAUCCAGAAAUGGAAAGAGUAUGGCACAACUGCAGACCUACCCAGACCUGGCCAUCCACCAAAACUUACAGAACAAACAAGAAUAGCACUCAACAGAGAUGCAGCCUGGAGGCCCAUGGUGACUCUGGAAGAGCUGCAGAGAUCCACAGCUCAGGUGGGGAAAUCUGUUCACAGGACAACUAUUAGUCGUGCACUACACAAAUCUGAUCUUUAUGGAAGAGUGGCAAGAAGAAAACUAUUGUUGAAAACUAUCCAUAAGAAGUCUCAUUUACAGUUCACUAGAAGUCAUUUGGAGCAGUGGUCCCCAACCACCGGGCCACAAACCGGUACCGGUCCACGGAUCAAUUGGUACCGGGCCACCAGCCCAAGAAAUACUUGGUGCAUCAUACUUGGUGGCUAACCGUGUAUUUUUUUAAAUAAUUUAGUUAGGAGGCAGAGAGGAUGUUAAAACCACUUAACGUUCCAGCCGUGGCCUUUACGUUACAACUUUACAGCAAUGUCAGUGUAUUUCUGCGUCACCCACACAAACAAUCUACACAUCAAAUGAAAGCUACGGCAUUCAUCUUUCUGAAUAUGUAAACCAUUUACACCUCUAAUCACCACAGUGCUGACAGGAAAGCCGUUUUUACAGAGAAGUCAGAAAUGUGGAUUUGGACUUCACUUACCAUUGAGCGCUCUGGUUCUGUCAAACAUCAACAUAUUCACACAAAGUUGGUCUCAUUCGUUCCGUAAAGGUCCAGAGAAUAUAAUCCAGUCAAGAAAUUAUGUCCACAAAGGAAUUUAGAGCCUCCAUGUCCAAUCUGCUGCAGGAAAGUGAAAUCUGUUCCGUCACUUCUCUGCAUUUCUUUUGUCAGUUUCAGGCAUAAUAAACUUCUGACAGCGCCAACUUUGUUCCUCAGCGCAAAACGAACUUGUUAGCUUGCAAUUGACACCAAAGUUGGCCAAUAAGGUGGGGGCUGUGGGUUACUGGAGCCGCGGACAGUGAAUGAGAGCUACAGAUGACUGAAAGAGUACGCCCCACUCUCCCCCUUGUAGAAUCAAGCUGUUACAUUACACACGUUUAAUGAUGUUUUCCCCUUAAAGCCCAUGGACAGUGGAACACGCCGAUGCGUGACAUACAGUGGUUUACUGUAAACAGACGGACUAUGCUGCGCGCGUAAAGAGACUGGAUAUAAAGAUCCGUGCGUAAAAUUACGCGCGCGUAUUGCGUAAUUUUACGCAGCAGUUUUGCGUUUUAAACGUGACGAAACGGACAAAACAAAGGAAGUACGCGACCGAGGACACUGUGGAUGUUUGUGCAAGUUAAACUAGAGGCAUCUCGGACCCGGAGCGGUUUGUGGAACCGAGUGACGAUCUCAUGAUGGACUCAGGAGCAGAGGACCUUAUGAUUUGAUGGACUGAUGCUGUUCCUGAUCGGAGCCUAUUCCCCACCCCACACCUGGUCAGUUCUCAGGAGGCUUCAGUGGACACCUCUGCACGGAGGCUGUGUGUGUUAAAAUUGCUGAUGAUUCUCCUCGGCGACCCCGCUGAACAAAUGAUAAAGGAACAGGAUCAGAAAAUGUCAAUGGAUGGAAAAAAAGAUGCUAAUGAUGGUGACCAGGUGACCAUGGCGGUCAUUACAACACCUUCAGACAUCAAUAUAACUCUGGAAGGUGAAACAGUCAUGACGAACCUCCAGUCAGCGAUUAAAGGGUUCGUCAUGUCGUUUGGACUCAUCUAUGCCCUAAAUAUGAGGUAUCUUAAAAAGUGCGAUCGCACAUGUGAAUUUGUUCAAAAAGUGCUUCUGGGACUCAAAUCAAAAAGAAUUAGUACACCAACUCAGCGUCUUGCUGCAUAGCAAGUAGCUUAUUCAUUUGCUUUCUACAAUUUUACAGCUGUUUGUUUGAAGUUACACAAAAUGUAACUGUAAAUUUGUUGGCUCAAAGUUGCACAAUAUGCAAAUAUUAUUUGUUAUGUUUUUUGUUGCGGCUCGCUGUGUUAAUUUUGUACAUGCAAGUGUU